rnacentral:tRNA from 1 species
UGCGAGGUGGAGCAGUAUGGUAGCUCGUCGGGCUCAUAACCCGAAGGUCGGAGGUUCAAAUCCUCCCCUCGCUACCA